rnacentral:rRNA from 1 species
AGCGAACGCUGGCGGCAGGCCUAACACAUGCAAGUCGAACGGAUCCUUCGGGAUUAGUGGCGGACGGGUGAGUAACACGUGGGAACGUGCCCUUUGGUUCGGAACAACUCAGGGAAACUUGAGCUAAUACCGGAUGUGCCCUUCGGGGGAAAGAUUUAUCGCCAUUGGAGCGGCCCGCGUCUGAUUAGCUAGUUGGUGAGGUAAAGGCUCACCAAGGCUACGAUCAGUAGCUGGUCUGAGAGGAUGAUCAGCCACAUUGGGACUGAGACACGGCCCAAACUCCUACGGGAGGCAGCAGUGGGGAAUCUUGCGCAAUGGGCGAAAGCCUGACGCAGCCAUGCCGCGUGAAUGAUGAGGGUCUUAGGAUUGUAAAAUUCUUUCACCGGGGACGAUAAUGACGGUACCCGGAGAAGAAGCCCCGGCUAACUUCGUGCCAGCCGCCGCAGUAAUAC